AUUGAACGCUGGCGGCAUGCUUUACACAUGCAAGUCGAACGGUAACAGGUUAAGCUGACGAGUGGCGAACGGGUGAGUAAUGCAUCGGAACGUGCCCGAUCGUGGGGGAUAACGCAGCGAAAGCUGCGCUAAUACCGCAUACGAUCUGAGGAUGAAAGCGGGGGACCGUAAGGCCUCGCGCGAUCGGAGCGGCCGAUGUCAGCUUAGGUAGUUGGUGGGGUAAAGGCCCACCAAGCCGACGAUCUGGAGCUGGUCUGAGAGGACGACCAGCCACACUGGGACGGAGACACGGCCCAGACGCCUACAGGAGGCAGCAGUGGGGAAUUUUGGACAAUGGGCGAAAGCCUGAUCCAGCAAUGCCGCGUGCAGGAAGAAGGCCUUCGGGUUGUAAACUGCUUUUGUACGGAGCGAAAAGGUCCUUUCUAAUACAAGGGGCUCAUGACGGUACCGUAAGAAUAAGCACCGGCUAACUACGUGCCAGCAGCCGCCGUAAAAC
rnacentral:rRNA from 1 species